rnacentral:rRNA from 1 species
CGAGCGACUGAUUAGAAGCUUGCUUCUAUGACGUUAGCGGCGGACGGGUGAGUAACACGUGGGCAACCUGCCUGUAAGACUGGGAUAACUUCGGGAAACCGAAGCUAAUACCGGAUAGGAUCUUCUCCUUCAUGGGAGAUGAUUGAAAGAUGGUUUCGGCUAUCACUUACAGAUGGGCCCGCGGUGCAUUAGCUAGUUGGUGAGGUAACGGCUCACCAAGGCAACGAUGCAUAGCCGACCUGAGAGGGUGAUCGGCCACACUGGGACUGAGACACGGCCCAGACUCCUACGGGAGGCAGCAGUAGGGAAUCUUCCGCAAUGGACGAAAGUCUGACGGAGCAACGCCGCGUGAGUGAUGAAGGCUUUCGGGUCGUAAAACUCUGUUGUUAGGGAAGAACAAGUACGAGAGUAACUGCUCGUACCUUGACGGUACCUAACCAGAAAGCCACGGCUAACUACGUGCCAGCAGCCGCGGUAAUACGUAGGUGGCAAGCGUUAUCCGGAAUUAUUGGGCGUAAAGCGCGCGCAGGCGGUUUCUUAAGUCUGAUGUGAAAGCCCACGGCUCAACCGUGGAGGGUCAUUGGAAACUGGGGAACUUGAGUGCAGAAGAGAAAAGCGGAAUUCCACGUGUAGCGGUGAAAUGCGUAGAGAUGUGGAGGAACACCAGUGGCGAAGGCGGCUUUUU